ACAACAGAAGCUUUAAGUCACCUGCUCCUCAGAUCAGAAGGUGAUUGUGGCUUUCGGUAGACAUGGAACAGCCACAUCACUGGCUGGUCAGAAAGAGCAAGUGUCCUAGCCUUUGGCCUCGU
rnacentral:pre_miRNA from 15 species